rnacentral:rRNA from 1 species
UACGGAGGGUGCGAGCGUUGUCCGGAAUCACUGGGCGUAAAGGGCGCGUAGGCGGCCUGAUAAGUAGGGGGUGAAAUCCUGCGGCUUAACCGCAGGGCUGCCUUCUAAACUGUCAGGCUCGAGCACAGUAGAGGCAGGUGGAAUUCCCGGUGUAGCGGUGGAAUGCGUAGAGAUCGGGAAGAACAUCAGUGGCGAAGGCGGCCUGCUGGGCCGUUGCUGACGCUGAGGCGCGACAGCGUGGGGAGCAAACAGG